rnacentral:misc_RNA from 1 species
GAUGAAGAACGUAGUGAAAUGCGAUAAGUAAUGCGAAUUGCAGAAUCCGUGAGUCAUCGAAUCUUUGAACGCACAUUGCGCCCUCUGGCAUUCCGGAGGGCAUGCCUGUUCGAGCGUCAUUAUCACCCCUCAAGCACAGCUUGGUGUUGGGACUCGCGUUAAUUCGCGUUCCUCAAAUUGAUUGGCGGUCACGUCGAGCUUCCAUAGCGUAGUAGUAAAACCCUCGUUACUGGUAAUCGUCGCGGCCACGCCGUUAAACCCCAACUUCUGAAUGUUGACCUCGGAUCAGGUAGGAAUACCCGCUGAACUUAAGCAUAUCAAUAAGCGGAGA